AUAGCUUGAAAAAUAAAAAGUUGUGCAAAUUAAAGAAAAAAAGAGAGAAAUUAGAAAUUUAAAAAGUUGAAGAAGCAUACCAUGGCAUUAAAGAGAGAGUGGACGGGGAAUGUAGAGGUGUUCUGAUCCGACCACAUAUUUAUUAUCUUUUUGCAAUAGAAGAAGCAUCUGAGCCUCGGCAGAUCUACAAGAUACAUAUCUUUUAAGUUGGGAAAUUGUAUGAUUUCCU
rnacentral:lncRNA from 1 species